rnacentral:miRNA from 1 species
UCACAAGAUUGAAUAGGACCGGGCU